UUGAUGAACGCUAGCUACAGGCUUAACACAUGCAAGUCGAGGGGCAGCAUGGUCUUAGCUUGCUAAGGCCGAUGGCGACCGGCGCACGGGUGAGUAACACGUAUCCAACCUGCCGUCUACUCUUGGACAGCCUUCUGAAAGGAAGAUUAAUACAAGAUGGCAUCAUGAGUCCGCAUGUUCACAUGAUUAAAGGUAUUCCGGUAGACGAUGGGGAUGCGUUCCAUUAGAUAGUAGGCGGGGUAACGGCCCACCUAGUCUUCGAUGGAUAGGGGUUCUGAGAGGAAGGUCCCCCACAUUGGAACUGAGACACGGUCCAAACUCCUACGGGAGGCAGCAGUGAGGAAUAUUGGUCAAUGGGCGAGAGCCUGAACCAGCCAAGUAGCGUGAAGGAUGACUGCCCUAUGGGUUGUAAACUUCUUUUAUAAAGGAAUAAAGUCGGGUAUGGAUACCCGUUUGCAUGUACUUUAUGAAUAAGGAUCGGCUAACUCCGUGCCAGCAGCCGCGGUAAUACGGAGGAUCCGAGCGUUAUCCGGAUUUAUUGGGUUUAAAGGGAGCGUAGAUGGAUGUUUAAGUCAGUUGUGAAAGUUUGCGGCUCAACCGUAAAAUUGCAGUUGAUACUGGAUAUCUUGAGUGCAGUUGAGGCAGGCGGAAUUCGUGGUGUAGCGGUGAAAUGCUUAGAUAUCACGAAGAACUCCGAUUGCGAAGGCAGCCUGCUAAGCUGCAACUGACAUUGAGGCUCGAAAGUGUGGGUAUCAAACAGGAUUAGAUACCCUGGUAGUCCACACGGUAAACGAUGAAUACUCGCUGUUUGCGAUAUACUGCAAGCGGCCAAGCGAAAGCGUUAAGUAUUCCACCUGGGGAGUACGCCGGCAACGGUGAAACUCAAAGGAAUUGACGGGGGCCCGCACAAGCGGAGGAACAUGUGGUUUAAUUCGAUGAUACGCGAGGAACCUUACCCGGGCUUAAAUUGCAGAUGAAUUACGGCGAAAGCCGUAAGCCGCAAGGCAUCUGUGAAGGUGCUGCAUGGUUGUCGUCAGCUCGUGCCGUGAGGUGUCGGCUUAAGUGCCAUAACGAGCGCAACCCUUGUUGUCAGUUACUAACAGGUUCCGCUGAGGACUCUGACAAGACUGCCAUCGUAAGAUGUGAGGAAGGUGGGGAUGACGUCAAAUCAGCACGGCCCUUACGUCCGGGGCUACACACGUGUUACAAUGGGGGGUACAGAGGGCCGCUACCACGCGAGUGGAUGCCAAUCCCCAAAACCUCUCUCAGUUCGAACUGGAGUCUGCAACCCGACUCCACGAAGCUGGAUUCGCUAGUAAUCGCGCAUCAGCCACGGCGCGGUGAAUACGUUCCCGGGCCUUGUACACACCGCCCGUCAAGCCAUGGGAGCCGGGGGUACCUGAAGUGCGUAACCGCGAGGAGCGCCCUAGGGU
rnacentral:rRNA from 1 species